UAUGUGAUCGUCUCUCGCAUAUCAAUAAGCGGAGGAAAAGAAACUAACAAGGAUUCCCCUAGUAACGGCGAGUGAAGCGGGAAGAGCUCAAAUUUGAAAUCUUAAAGGGUUUCCCUUUACGAAUUGUAGUUUAAAGAAGUGUUUUCUGUUGAGGUUUUGGUAAAAGUUCUUUGGAAUAGGACAUCAUAGAGGGUGAGAAUCCCGUAUUUGACCUUUACUUUCAACUUUGUGAUACACUUUCAAAGAGUCGGAUUGUUUGGGAAUGCAGUCCAAAAUGGGUGGUAAAUUUCAUCUAAAGCUAAAUAUUGGCGAGAGACCGAUAGCGAACAAGUACCAGUGAGGGAAAGAUGAAAAGAACUUUGAAAAGAGAGUUAAACAGUACGUGAAAUUGUCAAAAGGGAAGCGUUUGACACCAGUGUUGUUUUUCUGAAAAUCAAUUAAAGAACUGUUUAUGCUAAGCUGUUUAGACUUUAUCAGCUAUCUGUUUAGUUUUGAGCUUUUCUUUAAUGCACUUUUCAGUUAACAAGUCAACAUCAAUUUCUUUUGCUGUAAAAAAGCUUGAGGAAGGUGGCUUGAGAUUCGUCUUAAGUGUUUAUAGCCUCUUGCCUAUGCAGUCGGAGAGAUUGAGGUCUGCAGCGUAGAUCCUUCGGGGCUAAAUGCAUUUGUGCUAAGUUAUAGCAUUUUAUAGACAACUUGUUGACUAUGAUUUGUCUUGUAGCUUACUCGCUUAUGUUAUUUUACCUACGCUUAGGAUGUUGAUAUGCAUGACUGAUAU
rnacentral:rRNA from 1 species